rnacentral:rRNA from 1 species
CUCGGCUUGACAUGCACGUGGUACUGAGGGGAAACCUGAGGGACCCGCGAGGGAGCGUGCACAGAUGCUGCAUGGCUGUCGUCAGCUCGUGCCGUGAGGUGUUGGGUUAAGUCCCGCAACGAGCGCAACCCUUGUCUUCUGUUGCCAUCGGGUUAUGCCGGGCACUCUGAAGAGACUGCCGGUGACAAACCGGAGGAAGGUGGGGAUGACGUCAAGUCAGCAUGGCCUUUAUGUCUGGGGCCACACACGUGCUACAAUGGCAGGUACAAACCGUCGCGAGACCGCAAGGUGGAGCUAAUCGGAGAAAGCCUGUCUCAGUUCGGAUUGUAGGCUGCAACUCGCCUGCAUGAAGUUGGAAUCGCUAGUAAUCGCGGAUCAGCACGCCGCGGUGAAUACGUUCCCGGGCCUUGUACACACCGCCCGUCACAUCACGAAAGCUGGCUGUACUAGAAGUAGCUACGCCAACCCGCAAGGGAGGCAGGUUCCUAAGGUAUGGUCAGUGAUUGGGGUG